rnacentral:lncRNA from 1 species
UAUGUUUAAUUUGCCAUUGGUUUAUCUUUUAUUCGUCUAGCUUUAGGCAAAUAAAACAAGAAGACCAUAUAUACACAUACAAAGAAAAAAACCAUGCUAAGAAAAAAAAAACAAGUACACACACAUCGUUAGGCCAUGGAAAAAUAUUGAAACCGAUCCGAAACCAAACCUUAAAUUUUUUAAAAUACUUGAACGAAUUCUGAAUUUUAAGACCCGAAAAAUCGAACCCAAACACAAAUUUUUUAACUAAUUGAAUGAGUUCUAAAUUUCAAGACCUGAAAAUCGAACCCAAAUCGA